ACAAAAAAGUAUUAAAGCUCAUAUACAAAAAUUUAACCCAGAAAAUAAAAAAGGAAUAACACUAGUAGGUUUGUUUGUUUUAUCACUACCAUUAAGUAUAAGAUAUGCUAAAAUAUUAACAGAUGUCUGUUUAAAAUCUAUAUCGUUGAACCAUAUAUCUACUAUCCCCUUAGCUUGCCUUUUAGUUUCCUGUUUAUAUUUAGAAUCCAUUUUUUCAUAUGAUUAUAAAUUGCGUACAAAAUAUAAAAAAAAAAAAAAAAAAUUAAAAAGUAAUAACAUGCAUAACAAUAGUGUUUUUCGCGCUGGUACUGACUUCAGUAGCAAAACUAGUACUGGUAAUCAUUUGAUAAAUUUAUUUCUAAAAAAAAAAUAUGAGCAGGUUAACAAAAGUGAUAAUUCUAUGAAUAAAUCGUGUUAUGCGAAUUCGGGGGGUACAAAUGGAAACCAAAAUGAAAGCAGCAGCGAAACGAAUUGCCAAAAUGAGGACGAAAGUGGGAGCGAUUUUGAAGAAUCAAGUGAUGACACAAAUGACACAUUAAUUACAAAUUUUAAAUCAAAAUAUGAUAAUGAUAUUGACUUCUAUUUAGACUUAUGUAUAAGUUUUUAUUUUGCAAAAAACAGAGGUGAUUUUUGUUAUUCUAUGAAAUUGGAUAAAAAAAAAACAUCGGAAUUACUUAAAUUAUCUAAUCAGUUAAUGCAUAUAAUUAAUCUCAAACUUAGUAAAAAUAUUAGUUUUGAAAUUUUGGAAAAAAAAACAUCCCCUUUAUCAAAACAAAUAAUACGUUAUGCAGUUAUUCAAGGAUUUAUAGACCAUUUAGCAAUCCGUUCUGAUUUUAUACAUAACGAGUAUACUAGAAAUGUAGAAUUUAAAUAUAAUAAUAAAAAAGCAUAUUUUACUCAAAACAUGAACACACCUGUAUAUAUUAAUUCGAUAUCCGCUUUAUAUCCACACAGGCCAUACCCGAAAUAUAUCUUAUAUAAUUAUAUUAUGAAGAAUAAAAACUCAUUUGUUAUGUUUGACUGUUUAAAUAUAAACGAGUCAGACUUAGAAAAGAUAACAAAUGCUUGUAUAUUUACUAACGCAUACGAAAAAAUCCCGCCUCCUAAAUACAAUGCAAGAAGGGAUAAAAUUGUUGUUUAUAUAAAACCUUUGUAUUUACCUUAUUCUCUGCAGUUAUCUAUAACAGAAAAAGAAUUAAAUGAAAAUGAUGCUUUAUUUUAUAAUUACCUUGCAUUGUUUAUAUUAGAUGGAGCAAUGUUUCCAAAAAUGUGCAUGUUUCAAAAAUUAUAUUCUCAUGACGCAACUGAUGUAAUUAAUUGUACUCAACAAGAAAUUAAAAAUUUUAUAGACGCUUUAAAAAAAAACAGAAUAGUAAACAGGUACCUACCUACACGUUUGUUGCAUGUACAAGUACAUAUAUACUCAUCCGUUUAUUUGUAUAUAUAUAUAUAUAUAUAUUUUUUUGGUUAUUUAUGUUUUUUCUUCUUAGGUCAAUAUUAAUAAGCAAAUGGAAAAAAGAUACCCUUUUUUUAAAAAAAGAAUUUAUUUCUUUAGUAGAAAAAAAAAUUACUAAGUACAAUCAAAACGCUGUUCAUGAUUUCUGGCCACCUACGCAUAUGUGAUAACAAUACGUAAAUACAAAGACACCUGUAUAUAUCUAUACAUGUAUGGACAUGUAUUCCAGUAACAUGCAAACAGUUCAAAAACGCACACAUAUAUAUAUAUAUAUACAUAACAUCGUAAUGAUUAUUAUAAACCAAUUUUUAUAAUUAUCAAAAAAAAAAAAAAAAAAAAAACAGCAGUAUCAUCAAAACUAGAAGUACAGCAAAAUGAAUAACAUAUUGAAACAAAUAUGUUUUUAUAAUUCUUUUUAAUAUAUAAUUAUAUACUAUCUUUUAAAUUAUAAAAUGAAAAUAGUUUAUUUAUAUCCAUAUUACGAAAAGUUUUUAUUUUUUUUUUGUUAUUAUAUAAUAGAUAUAUAUAUAUAUAUAUAUACA
rnacentral:lncRNA from 1 species